AAGACACGAGGGUAAGAGGUAAUUCCUUCAAUAGACCAGGCUGAAGCAGCUCCUUCUUCAUACGAUAGUAAAUGCUUACGAGGAACAUGACGCAGACUCGGAGUCAGUCGCCAUGACAACAUGCUUACUUUUGAGAUGAGGGAAACCAGCUGCAGCACCACCUUCUGGAUACCCAAGCCUCCACAGGAGAAGGAAGACUACAGCUAAGACCAUCGCUGACCUCAGCCUUAUCCUCAGCUCAUCAUUUUAACUAGUAUCAUCACACUGACAUGCUCCAGAACAGUCCACAGAGACUGAGAACAGAAGAAGAAGUUGACCUCUCCGGACAACCUCCUGCGUAUCCGUCUUCUCCCUGAUCGUUCAUCGUGAGCCUUUUUCUGAUGACAGAUGAGAAACCGUGAUGAAUCUCCUUCACGUUUCAGAUCAGAGUUGUCGACAGUGGGGAAAUAUUCUAUGACCUCUGACCUCAGGAGAAGCUAGGAAAUUUAAAGAAAAAUUGGACUUACACUGUAACUUGUGUGUCCUUAGACUGACACUGGGUCCAAACGGGCGACAGGAGAAACAGCGUCAGUUGUGUCACCUUAUUUAUCCAGAGUCCUUUAAUAAGUUUUUAGUUUUUAAGCCUAUCA